GUGGGGAAUAUUGGACAAUGGGCGAAAGCCUGAUCCAGCCAUGCCGCGUGUGUGAAGAAGGUCUUCGGAUUGUAAAGCACUUUAAGUUGGGAGGAAGGGCAGUAAGUUAAUACCUUGCUGUUUUGACGUUACUGACAGAAUAAGCACCGGCUAACUUCGUGCCAGCAGCCGCGGUAAUACGAAGGGUGCAAGCGUUAAUCGGAAUUACUGGGCGUAAAGCGCGCGUAGGUGGUUUUGUAAGUUGGAGGUGAAAUCCCCGGGCUCAACCUGGGAACUGCCUCCAAAACUGCAUGACUAGAGUACGGUAGAGGGUAGUGGAAUUUCCUUUGUAGCGGUGAAAUGCGUAGAUAUAGGAAGGAACACCAGUGGCGAAGGCGACUACCUGGACUGAUACUGACACUGAGGUGCGAAAGCGUGGGGAGCAAACAGGAUUAGAUACCCGUGUAGUCC
rnacentral:rRNA from 1 species